rnacentral:rRNA from 1 species
GAUGAACGCUGACAGAAUGCUUAACACAUGCAAGUCUUUGGCGAAGCUGUGCUUGCACAGCCUAGCCAAGGCGGACGGGUGAGUAUCGCGUAAGGAACUUGCCCUGCAGUCAGGGAUAACAGACGGAAACGACUGAUAAGACCUGGUAAAGUCAGGCGGACUCAUGUCCAGCCUGAUGAAAAGAGAUGCUGCAGGAGAGCCUUGCGUCCUAUUAGCUUGUUGGUGGGGUAACGGCCCACCAAGGCGAUGAUAGGUAGCCGGCCUGAGAGGGUGGACGGCCACAAGGGGACUGAGAUACGGCCCUUACUCCUACGGGAGGCAGCAGUGGGGAAUAUUGGACAAUGGGGGCAACCCUGAUCCAGCAAUUCUGUGUGCACGAUGAAGGUUUUCGGAUUGUAAAGUGCUUUCAGCAGGGAAGAAAAAAAUGACGGUACCUGCAGAAGAAGCGACGGCUAAAUACGUG